rnacentral:pre_miRNA from 1 species
AGGAGCAACAGCCCUAGUGGCGGGGCCAGCUCUGCAGCCCUGGAUUCAGCUCCGGCAGGAACGCUGGAUCUCUCCGUCUGCAGGGCCUGGAGGCUCCGGGGCGGG